rnacentral:rRNA from 1 species
CCUACGGGGUGCAGUAGUCGAGAAUCAUUCACAAUGGGGGAAACCCUGAUGGUGCGACGCCGCGUGGGGGAAUGAAGGUCUUCGGAUUGUAAACCCCUGUCAUGUGGGAGCAAAUUAAAAAGAUAGUACCACAAGAGGAAGAGACGGCUAACUCUGUGCCAGCAGCCGCGGUAAUACAGAGGUCUCAAGCGUUGUUCGGAAUCACUGGUCGUAAGGCGUGCGUAGGCUGUUUCGUAAGUCGUGUGUGAAAGGCGCGGGCUCAACCCGCGGACGGCACAUGAUACUGCGAGACUAGAGUAAUGGAGGGGGAACCGGAAUUCUCGGUGUAGCAGUGAAAUGCGUAGAUAUCGAGAGGAACACUCGUGGCGAAGGCGGGUUCCUGGACAUUAACUGACGCUGAGGCACGAAGGCCAGGGGAGCGAAAGGGAUUAGAUACCCGAGUAGUC